ACGCUCGACACCUACGGAGGCAGCAGUGGGGAAUAUUGGGCAAUGGGCGCAAGCCUGACCCAGCAACGCCGCGUGAAGGAAGAAGGCUUUCGGGUUGUAAACUUCUUUUGUCAGGGAACAGUAGAUGAGGGUACCUGACGAAUAAGCUCCGGCUAACUACGUGCCAGCAGCCGCGGUAAUCUGAGCGGGCUGGCAAGGC
rnacentral:rRNA from 1 species